CGUAAACGUCCACUGAAGCACCCGGCAGCGCCUGACGGGUCACUAGGUCCCUCACCAGCACCUUCAGAGCAAACUGGGGCUCUGGAGAGAAAAUGCCAGAAGCGGAGGGGCUGAGGAGUCUCCCCGGGUCGGUGACAGACGGGUCUCCGACCGCAAUGGUGAGGCCAUUGUCCCCGGGCGAGGAGGAGGGCAGGCCGCCGCCCUCCUCCGCUGCUCUCACCGCCCCAUCCAGGCACGGAAUCAAAAGCAACGACGGCAGAAAGAGCAGCAGCGGCGGCAGCACGGAGCGUUCAGCGGCGGGCAUGGCGAGAGGGGGAGCAGGCUCAAAGACAUAACGAACCGCGAGAGGUUCGGGGAGGGGGAGAAGAACGAGGUCCAGUAGGGUUUGUCCUUAUCACGAAGGCCUCGUCCCUCUCAUGGUUUCUUGUAAUGUUGGUGCGGACAGAGGCGGGGGGGGGGGGGGGCCCAAACCCCGUGGAGAAAGGAUGCGCUGGUGCUGAGGCUGGGCGUGUGUGGUCGAAGAUCGUUUAUAAUGGGAAAGAUGUGUCACAAAACAAAAUACAGCACAGGUUCAUCACUAUGAUUUAUAUCCUAAAAUGCCACAUCUAAAUAUAUUCCUUGUGUGUAUUUCGGUCCAAUAAUGCAUACAUAUACGUGCAUAUGUGCUGAAACAAGCAGUUAUUUCAUUUAACAGCCUGUAGUCAAUGGCAGAUAAUUUUGAUGAUCAGUGAUAAUGUGAAGAUUUUCUGCUUUUCGAUUCUUUAAAUCAUUGUAAACGGAAUAUCUUUAUUUUCUAAAGUAAUUAGUAAUAGGCUAUAAGAGAGUGUGAUUACCAUUGCCGUACCACGAAAAAGGCUACAGAGUGAGAGGUCUUACUGUCAGGAUUAUCUUUGGUAAGACAGAAGAUGCUGUUACAUCAUUGGUUGCCUAUUUUUAUCUCCCCUGCUUUGACAAAAUGUAAAAAUCCACCGUUCAAAUCACACAUCAUGACUGAAAAAUAUAGGCUACAUAAAAGAAUCACUUUUUUUGUGCUGUGAUUAUUUGUCAAGUCAACUUGUAAAUAUACAGAAACAAAAAUAGUUG